CUAAUACCGCAUAAUCCUNGUGAAGGGAAAGCAGCAAUGCGCUGAAAGAGGAGCCCGCGGACGAUUAGCUAGUUGGUGAGGUAACGGCUCACCAAGCGGUGAUCGGUAGCCGGACUGAGAGGGCACACGCCCACACUGGCACUGAAACACGGGCCAGACUCCUACGGGAGGCAGCAGAUGGGGAAUCUUGCACAAUGGAGGCAACUCUGAUGCAGCGACGCCGCGUGAGCGAUGAAGCCCCUCGGGGUGAAAGCUCUUUCGGCAGGGACGAUAAUGACGGUACCUGAAGAAGAAGCUGCGGCUAACUACGUGCCAGCAGCCGCGGUAAUACGUAGACAGCGAGCGUUGUUCGGAAUUACUGGGCGUAAAGAGUGUGUAGGCGGUGCUCUAAGUUCGGUGUGAAUCUCUCGGCUUAACUGGGAGGAUGCGCCGGAAACUGGAGUGCUCGAACGUGGGAGAGGAAAGCGGAAUUCCUGGUGUAACGGUGAAAUGCGUAGAUAUCAGGAGGAACACCUGCGGUGUAGACGGCUUUCUGGACCAUUGUUGACGCUGAGACACGAAAGCGUGGGUAGCAAACA
rnacentral:rRNA from 1 species